GGCAAGAGAAGGUACCACAGCUAGGAAGAAAAGCUGAUCCUAGUUCCUGAAAAUCAGAAUAGUAGGUAAAUUUGAAAAGAUGAGCAUGGCAGUAUCCUAUUUGUAUUGUGUGGAGAAGGAAAGCAAAUCAGGGAUCCUAAUAAAGAAUGUUGCAGACAUCUUAGUGAGAGACUGUUGUGAUCUGGACUGCAAUUUUAGCGGUGAGGAUAAGGAGAAGUUGAUAAAUUCAAGAGGCAUUUAAAGGUUUUAAUUAACAGAACUUCUGGAUUGAUUGGAAUGAGGGUGAUCAGGGCAAGGGAGACACAAUAAAAAAUAAUUACCAACUUGGUAAAUGGCGGUGUCUUUCAAUUAAAAAGAAGGGUGGGUUUAGGGUGAAAGAUUAGUUUAGCUUGGAUGAAUUGAGUGUGGCAUACUUAUAAGACAGAAUACUACAAUAAUAGGGCUGCGGAGUGAUACGAUGGUUAUUUAACCUAUGUAUUCUAUUUAUCUGGAUGUGACACUGUGAUGUUCUGCAGAGUGUUUGGAGGGACUUCAGAAAGAAUGAACCGAAUAUUUUCACGCCAUAGAGCUAGCUGUUCCAUCAGAAAAGCUUAAGGUUUGCCUCUGUUUAAUUGUGGCCAAGCUCUACCAAUACCUAAAUAGAGAGAACCAUGCUUCCUAAGCUGCAAAUGGCAGAAGUGAGAAUUGCUGCUCUCCAGUUUCUUCUGCUAUCAGCAUUUACUUGCCAGGAUAAGUUGAAAAUGCCACGUGGAGAGGCCUAUGUGGCAAAGAACUAAGGGUGGCCUGUGACCAGCAGCCGAUAAGAAACUGAAGCCCUAUGACCAACAGCCCUUGAAGAACUGCAUCCUGAUUACAACCAUGAGGGUCUCUCAGCAGUGGCUCUGGACAGGUUCCUCAUUGCCUGUACCUCCAGCUGGGCAGCUUCUACCUCUGUGGUUCAAGUAUCCAUUUUGUGGCUCCAAUUCCUGAUAUCUGGCGCACUCUGGAAAACAGUGUGGAGGCUCCUCAAGAAGUUAAAAAUAGAGCUACCC